rnacentral:rRNA from 1 species
GAUGAACGCUGGCGGCGUGCCUAAUACAUGCAAGCCGAGCGAACAGACGAGGAGUUUGCUCCUCUGACGUUAUCGGCGGACGGGAGCGUCACACGUGGAUAACCUAACUCUAAGACUGGGAUAACAUCGGGAAACCGGAGCUAAUACCCGAAAAUAUAUUGAACCGCAUGGUUCAAUAGUGGAAUACGGUUUUGCUGUCAGUAAAAGAUGGAUACGCGCCUCAUUAGCUAGUUGGUAAGGUGACGGCUUACCCAGGCGACGAUGCGUAAACGACCUGAGAGGGUGAUCGGCCAAGCUGGAACGGGGGGACGGUCCGCACUACUGCGGGAGGCAGCAGUAGGGAACCUUCCGGGAUGGGCGAAAGCGGGACGGAGCAACGACGCGUGAAUGACUAAGGUCUCCGGGUCGUAAAACUGUUGUAGGAGGUAAGAACGAAAGGGUAAGUAACUAGGCACGUCAUGAAGGGAACUGAGCAGAAAGCCACGGCUAACCACGGG